rnacentral:rRNA from 1 species
AACGAACGCUGGCGGCAGGCCUAACACAUGCAAGUCGAGCGAACCCUUCGGGGUUAGCGGCGGACGGGUUAGUAACGCGUGGGAAUAUACCCUUUGGUACGGAAUAGCCUCGGGAAACUGAGAGUAAUACCGUAUGUGCCCUUGGGGAAAGAUUAUCGCCAAAGGAUUAGCCCGCGUUGGAUUAGAUAGUUGGUGGGGUAAUGGCCUACCAAGUCUACGAUCCAUAGCUGGUUUGAAGAGGAUGAUCAGCAACACUGGGACUGAGACACGGCCCAGACUCCUACGGGAGGCAGCAGUGGGGAAUCUUAGACAAUGGGCGCAAGCCUGAUCUAGCCAUGCCGCGUGGACGAUGAAGGCCUUUAGGGUUGUAAAGUCCUUUCAGAUGGGAAGAUAAUGACGGUACCAUCAGAAGAAGCCCCGGCUAACUCCGUG